GCCUUGGUAGCUUAGUGGUUAGAGCACGAAAACUGUAUUCUUAAGUAUUGGGUUCAAUUCCAAUCCGAGGGA
rnacentral:tRNA from 1 species